rnacentral:ncRNA from 1 species
UUAACAUCUAAAUUAUACUUAAUUAAUACAAAUUUAUCAAUCAAUGCCUCCACUAACACUCCCCAACCCUCCCACACCAAAUGAACCUGCCCUUGAGAGGGAAACAACAACUGGAAACGACUGCUAAUACCUCGCAGGCUGAGUUGCAACAGGAGGAAUCCACCCGAGGAGGGACUCGCAUCUGAUGAGCUAGUUUUGUGAAGUAAUAGCUUACCAACGCAAUGAUUAGUAGCUGAUCUGAGAGGAUGAUCAGCCACACUGGGACUGAGACACGGGCCAGACUGCUACGAGAGGCAGCAGUGAGGAAUUUUUCACAAUGGGCGAAAGCUUGACGGAGCAAUGCCGCGUAGAGGUAGAAGGCCCACGGGUCGUGAACUUCUUUUUCCGGAGAAGAAGCAAUGACUAUAUCUGGGAAAUAAGAGCAGCUGCGAUAAUACAGAGGAUGCAAGCGUUA